CAGCCAGACGACACGCGGUCAUCCUGACGAGCGCUCCCGCCUAACUGACUCCCGAACAUAUUACGAACUCGUGCAUUUUAAAAUUCGAAUACCGAAUUCCGAUCGAACCUAUCUCGUUGAAAAUCCAUUGUUCGAAUAUACAAUGCUACGUGCGUAAUACCGCUUCCGGCUCGGAUUAUUGAAUUGUCUUCGAACGUGCUGACGAAGUUCUCCUGACAAAUUCUGUAUAGUGACAUUUUUACGAUUUGUUUGUUCAAAAAAUUACCAAAUUAAAAAUAAACCGAUGAUAAAAACUACCGCGUGCCAAUACUAAAAGUUUGUUAAAUAAAAGAACAUUUAUUCAAGUGAAAGAGAUAAGAAAGCCGUCAAACUGUAUUCCUUCGACAGUUUUAAGGAGUACGAGUACGAUGAAGACAGAGCGUACAACGGUCAUGAGGACACCUUCGGGACUCAUAAGAAAAGCGUGACAAUGAGAGAAAAAAGGGGAGGCGCUAUGAGCAAAAUGCAAAAGCUCAGGAAACGCCUGUCCCUAAGCUUCGGUAGAUUAUCAACAAAAGACGAGUCAGAAGUUGAAGGGGAGUGUCGGGGUCGACAAAACGGUGGCGGCGGUGCGCGCGGCAAAUUACCCUACAACGGAUACUCGGAAGAGUGCCUCGAUCGACUAGAGCCCAACGGCAACAUACCUAAUGAUAAGGAUUCCCAUUAUGAGUGGAGUGGCGGUGGUGGCAACGGCGAAUACCGUGUUCGGAGGCAGCUGUCGGUAUCUUCAGACUCGAAACUCCUAGACGAGGGUGCGAGGGAGGACGCGAGGGUAGUGAUGAGGCCGAAACGACCACCCAGGCCAAAGUCGGAGGCUUUCCUUGGGCCACACGAACAUUCUAAUCGUCGCACCAAGCGGUUUAGUGCCUUUGGGGGUGACUCCCCCUUCGGAAAAUCCGAGGCUUAUAUUAAACUGGAGCAGCUCGGCGAAGGCUCCUACGCUACAGUAUAUAAGGGAUAUAGCAAUUUAACACAACAAGUUGUGGCUUUAAAAGAGAUCAGACUGCAAGAAGAGGAGGGCGCGCCUUUCACAGCGAUACGCGAGGCGUCACUUCUCAAAGAACUAAAACACGCCAACAUUGUAACGUUACAUGACAUCGUGCACACGAGGGAAACGUUGACGUUCGUGUUCGAGUUCGUGGACACAGACUUAUCGCAAUAUAUGGAGAUGCACCCCGGUGGCCUCAAUCGGCAUAAUGUCCGACUUUUCAUGUUCCAACUUCUCCGAGGUCUCGCCUACUGCCAUCGGAGACGAGUGUUGCACAGGGACGUCAAACCACAGAAUUUAUUAAUAAGCUCGCACGGUGAACUGAAGCUGGCAGACUUUGGACUCGCACGGGCGAAAUCCGUUCCUAGCCACACGUACUCGCACGAGGUCGUCACAUUAUGGUACAGGCCACCAGACGUUCUCCUCGGGAGCACAGAGUACUCAACGUCGUUGGACAUGUGGGGAGUUGGCUGUAUAUUCGUAGAAAUGCUCUGCGGGGUACCCACGUUCCCGGGAGUCCGUGACACGAACGAUCAACUCGACAAAAUCUUCAAGGUGGUCGGCACGCCCACAGAAGACAGUUGGAACGGCGUGUCCCGCCUGCCGGGCCUGAGGGCGCACGUGUCCCGCUGGGGCGCGUGUCCCGCGCGGCCGCUGGCGGCGGCCUUCCCGCGCCUGCGGGACGCCGGGCGGGACGCGCAGCGCCUGGCCGCCUCGCUGCUGCAGCCCGACCCCACGCGCCGCCUGGCCGCGCCCCGGGCGCUCGCGCACGAGUACUUCUCGCCGCUGCCGUCUCGCCUCUCGCACCUACCUGAUGAGGUGUCGAUCUUCACAGUAGAAGGCGUGAGCCUACACCCCGAAGACUAGGCGCUCACCGCACGCGUAGUAGAAUCUGUUCACUUGUUCCUCCCCGAGUGGGACAUUCUUAGUUAGUACCUAUCAAUUCCUAUAGUUUUAAUCAACGGUCGAAAUACGGUUCACUCAUUUCGACGGACCAACGUUUCCUGCUCGCGUCGAACCUGUCCAUCCGUCGAUCGCUUCGACUUAAUGUUACAUUAGCGCUUGUUAAGCUUCUAAUAAUAUCCAUCCAUGUAAUUCAAUUAUUCUAUGGUGACAAGGUAUACUGAUAGGUGUCGAGUGUACCGUUUAUUUGUAUAAAUAUAUAUAAACAGAGCAGUGUGCCAUGUGUAUCUAUACCUGAGAGUAUGACGUGUUAUUUUAAAAAGAUUUUUAUGCUGGAUAUAUGCUCAUAAUUUUGGUAAAAAUUUUGAAGAUGUUUAUUUAUAUUUACUAAGGGAUAUAUGGAAUCAGUGCAGUCUUAUGAAGUGACCCUUGUAUCAUAAUCACCGAGCACCGGAUGAGCUAAUCUAUAAUCUUUAAGUUAAUACUUGCCGAACAAAGACAAUUGGAGAAAAUAAAUUGUCAUUUCUAUUAGAGCUUUAGUAAAUUUAUUUGGCGUCUGUCUUAACGUGCACAUUCCUGAGGUGCUAUCGAAGGAACCUGAUGGUGGUGAAUUAUGUUUUUGAAGAUUUAAAAUUUGGAUGUCGAAAUUUUUCGGCAUCACCAAAGCGUUGUUGUUCCAAUAGGAAAUAAAUACAUCGGGUGUUUUAUCCUAAAGUAUCGCACGCUUGUUUUCACUCCUCGCCGACGUAAUUCGGGGAAAGCGAGCGAUGGAUCGCUUGCAGAGAUAUAAUUGAAAAUUAAAUGAGACGUCAACCAAAAUUUAUUUAAAAUAUCGUGACAGAUCUCAAGGUUAUUAAGUGUGGGACCGUCCUUUUGUAAAUUGUAACGUGAUAGGUUCGAUUAUGAAAAUUUUAUUAAUUAAUCUGUACAAGAAUGUAGAAUGAAGCUAGAAUUCUAGCUGUUAGGGAAUUUACCGUUUUAGCGAAAUUUUUAGUGGUCCCUCACAUUGUAAGGUUAGGGUCGCAAUGUAGGUACCGGCGCAUUGGCAACUUGAAUGUUUAACAUCUAUCCUAGAAUAAAAUGUGAUUCUGUACUAGAAAUGAAAAUAUAGAUUUUAGAAUGUAAACAUUGGAUCGUAACAAGAGCGUUCUCGAAACUUCGAACUUCGUAAGAAAGAAGAUGGUAGAAAAAUCAUAUCCUUUUAGACAGUUUCAUAUUCCAAGUAAAUGUUAGAAAAUGUUCGAAUUCAGCUAGAAAGUCCUUAAAGAUUUAUUAUAGUUUUCAAUCUCGUGAACAUCUCACAAAGACAAUGCAAGUCUGCGACGAGAUUUUCUCAUUUCAUUCGCUCGGAAUAUAAAUGAAGAACGAACCAAUAAAACCAUGUUAUGAAACUGUUUUGACAGGUUUACAGUGUUGCUCCUCUUAUUAGGAGACUUCAAGUACGGUCCGAAAGAAAAGGAAAAAAUAUUUAUGCAAUAAUAAAUUUAAUUCUCAUAAUGAAUAAACACAAUAAUUACGUUGUGAUAGGAUAAUUGAGAUAAAUUUAUAUGAAAAAUAUAUAGCUGUAAAAAUGCGUUUUUUCUUAAAUCGAUCGGGAAAAAUAAUGAUAUAGCCUAGGUAGGCUUAGCCUAACAUAUAGGUCGUACAUUUUUCACUGCCACGUUUUAAGACGGGAUAGUUCGAUUAGGCGGGACAUUAGUGGUGUCGAGUUGUCAGUGUGCGCGGACACUAGUGCGAGUAUAAUUAUUGUAGUGUAGUGAAUACAGAGCUUUAGAGACGAUUAUAUUGAGUGGGGAACGUCUCUCGAUAUCGUAUGAGCGCUAAAUUUUCAUUCGGCUUUCGGAAUUAAUUCAAAUAUGUAUUUUGGAUCAAUUGCGCGUUUACAAGCCGUAUUUGGUUAGGAUAAAUUUUCGAAAGCAAACUUUGCACAGAUUAUAAAUUCGCUCAGUCUAUAGAACCUUUUUGAUUCAUUUUAUGUAACGUGAUUCGAUUUGAUCUUAGAAAAAAAUUAUUUAGCAUUAUACCCUGUCAUUUAUAAAUAAAAUAUUUGUGUUGUACGAAAUAUUCAUAAUGCCGAGGGCCGUUCUCCACUCACUCGGCUUAGUUAACCCUAAUUCGGUUCCAAACACCAAACUAGCGAGUAACUUGUAUAGAAAAACGCAAUACUAUCAGUGUACAUGAUUCGUUGAGUUUGUUCUAUUUGUGUAUUUGUAAUUAGUGCAGAUCAUGAUCACCCGUUGAGUGAGGCACGGGCAUCCCUGAGAUGUGACAUGUAACGUAAGUGUAUAGUGUUCGAUGAUUACGGAGCAUUUAACUGAAUGAGUUUAUUACUAACAUUACACUUGUUUCAUAAUUCAUUUUCAUUGCGGAUUGAAAUUGUCUUGAUCUAUUUUUAGUUAAAUCCUAUUCUCGGAACGACUGUGUAGGUGUAUGUUUAUUGAUUAACUCAAAUGGAAUAUUUUAACGAAAUCGAUUCUUAUUACGUAAGCAAUAAGUGCCGCUUAUGCGUAAACGAGACUGAAUUACGAAACAAGUGUAAUUAGGCGAAUGGCGAUGUAUUGUCGCGUAAAAUGUAAUUUGCAUUUGUAUAAUGAAGAACUGAUGUUACGAAGUGGACGAGUAGACGAAAGUUAUUUGUAAAUAGUCAUAUUAGUUUAUUGUAUACUUUAGUUUCUCCAGUCCUGGACAAUUUGCCAUUGCUGUAUGAGUUUCGUAGCGGUGACUUUGUAUUUUACAAAACGACGCUUCUAUAACACUUUGUUUGGUUGGCCUGGGGUCAUAUUUUUUUUUAAUAAGUCAUUGUUCCUUAUAUUUUAGUAGUAAAGAAAAGUUUUCUAUUAUUUUUAAGAGGAUAUAUUCAACUAAUAAAAGUUUUGUGCAAUAUUUUGUACUGUAUAAAAGUGAUUUGUAUAAUUUAAAUGCGACGUUUUGUAAAAGAGUAAUAUUUGUCAAAUCUUCGUGCUUUUUUAGUUUUGUUUAUCCGACCGUGUAAGUUAUGUGAACAACAAAGAACGUUGCUACUAAAUACAUAUUUCAUAACCGCGCCUUUUCGUUACAGCAUGCAAUAUUACUGUGCCUUGUUCUUUGAACUUGUGCUAUUAUUUUAUAGUAGGAUAUUAUUUUAAUACAUAUAAAAUUUCAUAUAAUAUUGCGAAUAGUAAAUAAUUUGCGUUUUCGAGCACAGAUUAUAUUUGACACCUUAAUUUUGUAUAAUCUGUAUUCGCAUUUGUACAAGCAUGGAGAUAUUGACAGGUACGAAGUUGCCGCGCAUUCAUGGGAAUUUAUGAGAUUUAUUUUAAUAUUAAUUAUGUAAUAGGAUAUUUACAAUUUUAUUAAUUUGAUUUAUACUGUUCAUAUCGCUGACGUUGUGCGGCCGCCGAGUUUAUUUCGAUUUAUUAUUGUUUAAACAAUGUGCUUCUAAUCAUUUGAAAGAAUGUAAAUACGAUAUUUGAACUGAUAAUAAUAAAAAUUUUUAUUUCUUAA